rnacentral:misc_RNA from 1 species
AAGACUAUAGACCUGCGGAGUACCUGCGGAAGGAUCAUUAUAGAGUGGUAAACCCCCCGUAAAAGGGGGGGACCUCCUGUCCUUUGUAGGCUCUUUUUUAAAAGGGCUUUUUUUAAUUUUCUGCUUCGGUGGGGUUAUCCCACCGGAACAACCUCAAAACUCUUAUCAAAAAAUCGUUCUGUCUGAGAACCUUUUAUAAUAAAAAAAAACUUUCAGCAACGGAUCUCUAGAUCGGAAGAG